rnacentral:rRNA from 1 species
GACGACGCUGGCGGCGUGCCUAACACAUGCAAGUCGAGCGGGGUUGAAGCGAGAGGUAACUCGAACUUCUACCUAGCGGCGAACGGGUGAGUAAUAUAUCGGAACGUGCCCAGUAGUGGGGGAUAGCCCGGCGAAAGCCGGAUUAAUACCGCAUACGACCUGAGGGUGAAAGCGGGGGAUCGCAAGACCUCGCGCUAUUGGAGCGGCCGAUAUCAGAUUAGCUAGUUGGUGGGGUAAAGGCCUACCAAGGCUACGAUCUGUAGUUGGUCUGAGAGGACGACCAGCCACACUGGGACUGAGACACGGCCCAGACUCCUACGGGAGGCAGCAGUGGGGAAUUUUGGACAAUGGGCGCAAGCCUGAUCCAGCAAUGCCGCGUGCAGGAAGAAGGCCUUCGGGUUGUAAACUGCUUUUGUCAGGGAAGAAAUCUUCUGGGCUAAUACCCCGGGAGGAUGACGGUACCUGAAGAAUAAGCACCGGCUAACUACGUG